rnacentral:rRNA from 1 species
UACGUAGGGUGCAAGCGUUAAUCGGAAUUACUGGGCGUAAAGCGUGCGCAGGCGGUUAUGUAAGACAGAUGUGAAAUGCCCGGGCUUAACCUGGGAACUGCAUUUGUGACUGCAUGGCUAGAGUUUGGCAGAGGGGGGUAGAAUUCCACGUGUAGCAGUGAAAUGCGUAGAUAUGUGGAGGAACACCGAUGGCGAAGGCAGCCCCCCUGGGUCAAGGCUGACGCUCAUGCACGAAAGCGUGGGGAGCAAACAGG